rnacentral:rRNA from 1 species
AUUGAACGCUGGCGGCAUGCUUUACACAUGCAAGUCGAACGGUAACAGGCCGCAAGGUGCUGACGAGUGGCGAACGGGUGAGUAAUGCAUCGGAACGUGCCCAGUCGUGGGGGAUAACGCAGCGAAAGCUGCGCUAAUACCGCAUACGAUCUAUGGAUGAAAGCGGGGGACCGUAAGGCCUCGCGCGAUUGGAGCGGCCGAUGUCAGAUUAGGUAGUUGGUGGGGUAAAGGCUCACCAAGCCGAGGAUCUGUAGCUGGUCUGAGAGGACGACCAGCCACACUGGGACUGAGACACGGCCCAGACUCCUACGGUAGGCAGCAGUGGGGAAUUUUGGACAAUGGGCGCAAGCCUGAUCCAGCAAUGCCGCGUGCAGGAAGAAGGCCUUCGGGUUGUAAACUGCUUUUGUACGGAACGAAACGGUUCUGGUUAAUACCUGGGGCUAAUGACGGUACCGUAAGAAUAAGCACCGGCUGACUACGUGCCAGCCGCCGCCGUAAAAC